rnacentral:rRNA from 1 species
CCCUGGCUCAGGACGAACGCUGGCGGCAUGCCUAAUACAUGCAAGUCGAGCGAAUGACGAAGAAGCUUGCUUCUUCUGAUUUAGCGGCGGACGGGUGAGUAACACGUGGGCAACCUGCCCUGUAGAUUGGGAUAACUCCGGGAAACCGGGGCUAAUACCAAAUAAUCCAUUUCCUCACAUGUGGAAAUGUUAAAAGACGGUUUCGGCUGUCACUACAGGAUGGGCCCGCGGCGCAUUAGCUAGUUGGUAGGGUAACGGCCUACCAAGGCGACGAUGCGUAGCCGACCUGAGAGGGUGAUCGGCCACACUGGGACUGAGACACGGCCCAGACUCCUACGGGAGGCAGCAGUAGGGAAUCUUCCACAAUGGACGAAAGUCUGAUGGAGCAAUGCCGCGUGAGUGAAGAAGGUUUUCGGAUCGUAAAACUCUGUUGUAAGGGAAGAACAAGUACGAGAGUAACUGCUCGUACCUUGACCGGUACCUUAUUAGAAAGCCACGGCUAACUA